rnacentral:rRNA from 1 species
UACGUAGGGGGCAAGCGUUGUCCGGAUUUACUGGGCGUAAAGAGCGUGUAGGCGGCCACGCAGGUCCGUUGUGAAAACUGGAGGCUCAACCUCCAGCUGUCGACGGAAACCGUGUGGCUAGAGUCCGGAAGAGGAGAGUGGAAUUCCCGGUGUAGCGGUGAAAUGCGCAGAUAUCGGGAAGAACACCCGUGGCGAAGGCGGCUCUCUGGGACGGUACUGACGCUGAGACGCGAAAGCGUGGGGAGCGAACAGG